AGCUAGUUGGUAGGGUAACGGCCUACCAAGGCAACGACGGGUAGGGGGUCUGAGAGGAUGACCCCCCACACUGGAACUGAAACACGGUCCAGACGCCUACGGGUGGCAGCAGGGAGGAAUAUUGGGCAAUGGGCGAAAGCCUGACCCAGCAACGCCGCGUGGAGGAUGAAAGCCUUCGGGUUGUAAACUCCUUUUGAGGGAGACGAGAAAGGACGGUAUCCCUCGAAUAAGUCACGGCUAUCUACGUGCCAGCAGCCGCGGUAAAACGUAGGUGACGAGCGUUAUCCGGAUUUACUGGGCGUAAAGAGCUUGUAGGUGGCUCUGUAAGUUGGGUAUGAAAGCCCCGGGCUUAACUCGGGGAGGUUGCUCAAUACUGCAGGGCUUGAGGAUGUCAGAGGGAAGUGGAAUUCCUGGUGUAGCAGUGAAAUGCGUAGAUAUCAGGAGGAACACCCGUGGCGAAGGCGGCUUCCUGGGGCACUCCUGACACUGAGAAGCGAAAGCUAGGGGAGCGAACGGGAUUAGAAACCCCGGUAGUCCUAGCUGUAAACGAUGGAUGCUAGGUGUUGGCAGAUCUAACCCUGUCAGUGCCAAAGCUAACGCGUUAAGCAUCCCGCCUGGGAACUACGAGCGCAAGCUUAAAACUCAAAGGAAUUGACGGGGACCCGCACAAGCAGCGAGCGUGUGGUUUAAUUCGAUCUACACGAAGAACCUCACCCAGGUUUGACAUACAGGUGGUAGUGAAGCGAAAGCGGAACGACCCGCAAGGGAGCCUGUACAGGUGUUGCAUGGCUGUCGUCAGCUCGUGUCGUGAGAUGUUGGUUUAAGUACCCUAACGAGCGCAACCCUCGUUGCCAGUUACAAGUGUCUGGCGAGACUGCCGGCCACAAGCCGGAGGAAGGCGGGGACGACGUCAAGUCAGCAUGGCCUUUAUAUCUGGGGCUACACACACGCUACAAUGGGUGACUACAAUGGGUAGCCAAGCUGUGAGGCGGAGCCAAUCCCAUAAAAUCAUCCUCAGUUCAGAUUGCAGGCUGCAACCCGCCUGCAUGAAGUCGGAGUUGCUAGUAAACGCGCGUCAGCUAUAGUGCGUUGAAUACGUUCCCGGGUCUUGUACACACCGCCCGUCACACUAUGGGAGCUGGCAACACCUGAAGCCGGUAGCGUAACCGCAAGGAGCGCGCCGUCAAAGGUGGGGCUGGUGACUGGAGUGAAGUCGUAACAAGGUAGCUGUACGGGAACGUGCGGCUG
rnacentral:rRNA from 1 species